UACGUAGGGGGGCAAGCGUUGUCCGGAUUUAUUGGGCGUAAAGAGCGUGUAGGCGGCUAGGUAGGUCCGCUGUGAAAACUUGAGGCUCAACCUCAAGAGGUCGGUGGAAACCAUCUGGCUAGAGUCCGGAAGAGGAGAGUGGAAUUCCCGGUGUAGCGGUGAAAUGCGCAGAUAUCGGGAAGAACACCCGUGGCGAAGGCGGCUCUCUGGGACGGUACUGACGCUGAGACGCGAAAGCGUGGGGAGCGAACAGG
rnacentral:rRNA from 1 species